rnacentral:snoRNA from 1 species
AAAACUAUACUUUUAGGAAUCAUUUCUAUAGUUCCUUACUAGAGAAGUUUCUCAGUGGAGCGUACCAGAGACCACAAGGAGGAGGUGCAGUGUUCUCUCCUGAACAUGAAGCCGGCCCUGGGUGGUGUUUUGUGCAACUGCUUAUUGCCAUUGAUGAUGGAAAAAACAAAAGACAAAGGAAAAGAAAACAAGGA